UGGGGAAUUUUGGACCAUGGGGGAAACCCUGAUCCAGCCAUCCCGCGUGUGCGAUGAAGGCCUUCGGGUUGUAAAGCACUUUUGGCAGGAAAGAAACGUCAUGGGUUAAUACCCCGUGAAACUGACGGUACCUGAAGAAUAAGCACCGGCUAACUACGUGCCAGCAGCCGCGGUAAUACGUAGGGUGCAAGCGUUAAUCGGAAUUACUGGGCGUAAAGCGUGCGCAGGCGGUUCGGAAAGAAAGAUGUGAAAUCCCAGAGCUCAACUUAGGAACUGCAUUUUUAACUACCGGGCUAGAGUGUGUCAGAGGGAGGUGGAAUUCCGCGUGUAGCAGUGAAAUGCGUAGAUAUGCGGAGGAACACCGAUGGCGAAGGCAGCCUCCUGGGAUAACACUGACGCUCAUGCACGAAAGCGUGGGGAGCAAACAGG
rnacentral:rRNA from 1 species